UUCCCUGGGAUUGUAGUUCAAUUGGUCAGAGCACCGCCGGCGACCGAAGCCCCGGUGAACGGCGGCCGUAACUAUAACGGUCCUAAGGUAGCGAAAUUCCUUGUCGGGUAAGUUUCGACCCGCACAAAA
rnacentral:ncRNA from 1 species